GAGGCUAAGUUUAUAUUGCUUAUGUGAUAGUGACAAGUCAACGAGAGAGAUAUAUAUAUAAUUAAUUGAGAGUGCUGUGUUUUAUUAUAUAUUUUGUAUGUAUCAAACAAGAGAGAUAUAAUAAACGAAUGAUUUUUUUUCUCACUUUCAUUUGACCAGAAAACACACAUAUUUAUAGGAGGGGUAAGUCGGCAACCAUUUCCUUCACCAAGAAGUAAAUAAUAUUUUACUACCAAAAGGAUAAACAUUAUCCUUAUAUUGGAUAAUCAUUCAUUAUCUAAUACUCCCCUUUGAUUAUCCAAUUUGUAUUACGUAGUGCCUCGUUAAAAAUCUAGUCAUGGAAAAACCCAUUGGGAUAAAAACCAUGACGAGGGAAAAAGAGUACACUGCUGUAAUCUCUCCAUGAGAAUAGUAGCCCUAGCUUUCUCGUCACAGGUCACGUAAAUGCCGCAUCCCGAUACCAUAAAUAUAUUUUCUGAACGUUGUAGUGGGAUGGGCCUUUGUGAACAAGUCCGCCGGGAUUGUCGCAUGACCACCUUUUUAUUUUUCUCGAGCUCCCAUAUGUACGAGAAAAAU
rnacentral:lncRNA from 1 species